rnacentral:rRNA from 1 species
AGAGUUUGAUCCUGGCUCAGGACGAACGCUGGCGGCGUGCCUAACACAUGCAAGUCGAGCGGGGUCCAACCAGUGGCAACACUGGGGAAGACCUAGCGGCGAACGGGUGAGUAACACGUGAGAAACCUACCCCGAAGACUGGGAUAACUCCGGGAAACCGGAGCUAAUACCGGAUGCCCUCACCAGGCCGCAUGACCAGGUGAGGAAAUGGACUCCGCUUCGGGAGGGUCUCGCGGCCUAUCAGCUUGUUGGUGAGGUAAUGGCUCACCAAGGCUUCGACGGGUAGCUGGUCUGAGAGGACGAUCAGCCACACUGGGACUGAGACACGGCCCAGACUCCUACGGGAGGCAGCAGUGGGGAAUCUUGCGCAAUGGGCGAAAGCCUGACGCAGCAACGCCGCGUGGGGGAUGACGGCUUUCGGGUUGUAAACCCCUUUCAGCAGGGACGAUAGUGACGGUACCUGCAGAAGAAGCCCCGGCCAACUACGUGCCAGCAGCCGCGGUAAUACGUAGGGGGCAAGCGUUGUCCGGAUUUAUUGGGCGUAAAGAGCUCGUAGGCGGCUUGGCAAGUCGGAUGUGAAAAUUCCAGGCUCAACCUGGAAACGCCAUUCGAUACUGCUAUAGCUUGAGACCGGCAGGGGAACACGGAAUUCCUGGUGUAGCGGUGAAAUGCGCAGAUAUCAGGAGGAACACCAGUGGCGAAGGCGGUGUUCUGGGCCGGAACUGACGCUGAGGAGCGAAAGCGUGGGGAGCGAACAGGAUUAGAUACCCUGGUAGUCCACGCCGUAAACGUUGGGCACUAGGUGUGGGACCCUAUCGACGGGUUCCGUGCCGUAGCUAACGCAUUAAGUGCCCCG